rnacentral:rRNA from 1 species
UAGGGAAUCUUCGGCAAUGGACGGAAGUCUGACCGAGCAACGCCGCGUGAGUGAAGAAGGUUUUCGGAUCGUAAAGCUCUGUUGUUAGAGAAGAACGUUGGUAGGAGUGGAAAAUCUACCAAGUGACGGUAACUAACCAGAAAGGGACGGCUAACUACGUGCCAGCAGCCGCGGUAAUACGAAUGUCCCGAGCGUUGUCCGGAGUUAUUGGGCGUAAAGGGAGUGCAGGCGGUUCUUUAAGUCUGAAGUUAAAGGCAGUGGCUUAACCGUUGUACGCUUUGAAAACUGGAGGACUUGAGUGCAGAAGGGGAGAGUGGAAUUCCAUGUGUAGCGGUGAAAUGCGUAGAUAUAUGGAGGAACACCGGUGGCGAAAGCGGCUCUCUGGUCUGUAACUGACGCUGAGGCUCGAAAGCGUGGGGAGCAAACAGG